UAGAAUUGCAUCUACUUUACUGGGAC
rnacentral:sRNA from 1 species